CAUAACCUCGGGAAACUGGGUAUAAUACCCGAUAGGUCUCGAUUGCUGGAAUGCAUCGAGAUUUAAAGCUCCGGCGCCUAAGGAUGGGUCUGCGGCCUAUCAGGUAGUAGUGGGUGUAGCGUACCUACUAGCCUACGACGGGUACGGGUUGUGAGAGCAAGAGCCCGGAGAUGGAUUCUGAGACACGAAUCCAGGCCCUACGGGGUGCAGCAGGCGCGAAAACUUUACAAUGCUGGCAACAGCGAUAAGGGAACCUCGAGUGCCAGGUUACAAAUCUGGCUGUCGAGAUGCCUAAAAAGCAUUUCAUAGCAAGGGCCGGGCAAGACCGGUGCCAGCCGCCGCGGUAACACCGGCGGCUCGAGUGGUAACCGUUAUUAUUGGGUCUAAAGGGUCUGUAGCCGGCCGGAUAAGUCUCUUGAGAAAUCUGGCAGCUUAACUGUCAGGCUUUCAGGAGAUACUGUCUGGCUCGAGGCCGGGAGAGGUGAGAGGUACUUCAGGGGUAGGGGUGAAAUCUUGUAAUCCUUGAAGGACCACCAGUGGCGAAGGCGUCUCACCAGAACGGACCUGACGGCAAGGGACGAAAGCUAGGGGCACGAACCGGAUUAGAUACCCGGGUAGUCCUAGCCGUAAACGAUACUCGCUAGGUGUCGGCCACGGUGCGACCGUUGUCGGUGCCGUAGGGAAGCCGUGAAGCGAGCCACCUGGGAAGUACGGCCGCAAGGCUGAAACUUAAAGGAAUUGGCGGGGGAGCACCACAACGGGUGGAGCUUGCGAUUUAAUUGGAUUCAACGCCGGAAAUCUUACCGGGACCGACAGCAAUAUGAAGGCAGGCUGAAGACUUUGCCGGAUUAGCUGAGAGGUGGUGCAU
rnacentral:rRNA from 1 species